rnacentral:rRNA from 1 species
CAGUCGCCGCGGUAAUACGUAGGUGGCAAGCGUUGUCCGGAAUUAUUGGGCGUAAAGGGCUCGCAGGCGGUUUCUUAAGUCUGAUGUGAAAGCCCCCGGCUCAACCGGGGAGGGUCAUUGGAAACUGGGAAACUUGAGUGCAGAAGAGGAGAGUGGAAUUCCACGUGUAGCGGUGAAAUGCGUAGAGAUGUGGAGGAACACCAGUGGCGAAGGCGACUCUCUGGUCUGUAACUGACGCUGAGGAGCGAAAGCGUGGGGAGCGAACAGGAUUAGAGCCCCAGUAGUCCCUGUCUCUUAUACA